CGUCUUUCCAUAGUCAUCAUUGAUAAAAAAAAGGUGGCACAGCCAUCGUACCUGUUGGUUACCAAACAAAUAAGGUCGAUGUAUGUUUUUCUUCUUCCUUUACUCUCUUUUUGGCAUUGUAGGGGAAAAAACAUGGAUCAAAAUCUAAACAACUUUAAAGGUCAUUGUUUCGACUUUCUAAAGUCAGUUAGUUUCUGUUUCACUUCUUUUUUUUGUUUUUUUUUAAAUGGCAUACAUUUUACUUUUAUCUUAGAUCAGCAUCUUAACUGAAAUGUUAUUAUUCUACUUUCUGAAGAGGGGGCACAUAACUGACUUGUCAUAUCUAACAUUGUUUUUUGCACUCAAUCAAUCAUACUUUCCAUGUUAUCGUUUUCGUAGUAUCUGUUUUUUUUUCUUAAACAGCCAAUUGGAAAUAUCACCGAGAGAUUCAAUGCUUUAGAUAAUCACAAUCUAAACCAGCCGCCGGAGAAAGAAAGUUCCCCAUCUCUUCAAGAAAUCGGUUUUUUUCUCAGAUCCGGUUAAGACCGGCGUGUGUAGGCUUACACAGCCACGAUGUCGGUCUUAAUCCCUCCUUUAACUUCUUUUUGGUGGUGUUUUUUUCGUGUUUGGUAGAGGUUUCGCCUGAGUGGUUUGUUGGGUGCGGUGGAAGAGGUUUCCCAGAUAAAAUCUCCGGUCAGAGCUAACAGAUUUACUUGUUUAAGACGAAGAAGAUGCCAGAUCCGAUAGAGGUACGGAGCGGUUCACCUGAACCUGCAAGCGUCUUCUUCUCUGUUUUUAACUUAGCUCCCUUUGAAGAUCUUGUUGUUUGUUGACCAAAUCCAUCAACUCACUCCAUUUUUUUGAGAUCUCUACUUCGGGUCAGAUGUGUUUAUUGCUUCAGAAAAUCUGAAACUGAGGCAUCUUUGUUUGGAUUUCAGUGUUUAUCUUACUUUGCCUUUGUUCUAGCUUCGGUGUAAGUGGUGUGGGAUGAUGGUGUGGCAGUGUGUAGAAACCAGAACAUGUCUAACAUCUUUGAGAAGUGUCAGGGUGAUUGUUCGGCUCUAGGAGAGAGUCAUUCUCGCAGCCUUUGAAUAGGUGUUUUAUCUGGUCUAUCUUCUGCUCUCGUGUUCCCCGAUGGCUUUGUCUGGUUGAGUCAUUAUAAAGAGGUCGAGGGUUUUAGAUUUCUGAUGAAGGUUUGCUUGAGAAGGGAGCUUGGUCUCGGUUGUUGUUCUUCUCUGUUUGGUUCUUGAUGUUAUUGCUAUUGGUUCUGGCUUGCUACCGUGAACAGAAGGUUCAGAUUGGUGUGAAAGCUGAAUGGCGAGGACACCAUGGAAGACUUGUCCUCUUCUUGGGAAAUAAAAGUGUACUUCUCCAUUUAUGUCUCUUCAAGCACUAAUACUACCACCUGAUCAUUUGAAACUGGAACUGUCUCUUGUACCUGAUACCAUUCCUCCUCGACCACAGGUACUCUUAUAUAUAUAUAUAUAGGUUAAUUUGAUCCCAAUAUUUUUAUCAGUUUUUAUGUUACUGUGUCUUAUGGUCGUAGAACACAGCGGACAAGAGAUUCUACUCUUACAUUUGAGUUAAGACUUAUUCUGCCACUUGCACAAUCAACCCUAACAUCAUGACAAGAACGCAACUUGAGAAUAUCAUAAUCAUCAAAGACGUUUUAAAUUAAACAAAAAAUACGAGACAAGAAACAUGGGUAAAGAACAGAGUUUACGAAAUAGCAUAUAGCAAAAAGCUAAUCCAACACAUACGAUCUCAGAGACACUAGAAACUGAAAACUCAAAACAUGUCCCAUGUAAACAUAAAGCUUUCAAGCCAGCAACAAGCUUUAAGCGGCACCCUUGCCCUUCUUCUUUUGGAUU